UACGUAGGGGGCAAGCGUUGUCCGGAAUCAUUGGGCGUAAAGAGCGUGUAGGCGGCCCGGUAAGUCCGCUGUGAAAGUCCAGGGCUCAACCCUGGGAUGCCGGUGGAUACUGUCGGGCUCGAGUCCGGAAGAGGAGUGUGGAAUUCCUGGUGUAGCGGUGAAAUGCGCAGAUAUCAGGAGGAACACCAAUGGCGAAGGCACUCUACUGGGCCAUUACUGACACUGAGAGACGAAAGCUAGGGGAGCAAAUGGG
rnacentral:rRNA from 1 species